GAAGGAACAAUAGGCCUGUUGUAAACCAGAGGGGCCUCGGCACAUGGCAAGUGCUCGGGGGAUGGCAGCUAGAGAUGAUGUUAUGUAUGCUCUUUUGUAUUUUGCCCCACAUAAGUAAGUGCUUAACUGCUGGUUAUUUGCUAUACUGAGUAUCAAAGAGCUGCAUUUUCUCCAAGGGACCUUCCUGGGAUCCUCAUUCACUUAACCUUUCUUUGAAAGAGACCUGGGGCUUUCCGGGGCCUGGGUGGCUCAUUCAGGCUCCUCCCUGCACCCCACAGGACAUCCCUUUGGGAACCCGUGUGUGCAGAAGACUAUGCUGAGCACUGAUGGGGGUAAAAGAUGGGAAUCCAGCUCAUUGUAAUCGCGGAUACCAUAAGCCAGCACCCUGCGGAGGGCUGUCCGUGUAGUGGCCCCUAAACUGUGACUCUGAGACAGAUGGCAGUGCAGGGCCCAGGACCAAGGACAGAAACAAGGAAGCACUCAAAGGCUAACGGGGGAGUAUCAGCAGGACACAGGAGCCGGCCGAAAGGAGCUCCCAUGGGCCGAACUCUGGAUCAUCUGAGUAUCAACAUCUGAUACUGCAUAUUGCGACACAUUUUGAGAAACUGAAUCUAAUGGCAGCUCCUUCUACGAAUCCAGGAUGGCUAUAACCGUGAAAACAAUUGCAAGUGUCUCCCAGAAUGACAAUGCCAAGCCCUGUACAGUGGUAUCAGACAUCAGAGAUCACAAGAAAACAAGCUGUAUCCAAAAAGUUAAGAGCAAGAAGGAACAAAGUUUCCUGAAUUCUUAUAUAAACAUAGACACCCUUGAAGACGACCUCCUCCGAAUUGGGUUCACUGUGACAGUCUGGGUUUGCCUGUAAAAAUAAGACAUGUCACUGAGACAUACGUACACAUAGUUUUCCUAAUUUUGCCAAAGGAAAUCAGUAAGAAGGUACAAUGAUAAAUCUGCUAAAGUAAAAAGAAGAUAAAACUAACCCAAUCAUAAAUUAGAGAAAAGGAAGGAGACUCUCUCGUCCUCACUUGGGGCCUCCCCACUUUGUGGCUACCCAGAAACCCCCCUCGCCCCCCCUCCAGGGUUUGAGCCUCCUGAUGCAGCAACAUCUGCCUGGACAGUGAGAGGAUCAGCAGGCUGAAGAUCUAUCUAAACACAAGACCAAUAAGAGAAAUUACAAAGAAAAAAAAAAACGAGUGCUCAUCAGGAACUUAACAUCAGGUUGUUGCUAAAGAAGAAGUGUCUCUUUUCCAAAGAAUAUUCCAUCUGCCAGAAUUUAUGUAACUCAACAACGACACAACCGAUGUGAAUUCUGUCGGGCUGCAAGAAUACCUGUUAACAACCACCAAAGCAUUAUCGGUCCUAAUUGAGGCCUCCUCGGGGAAACAAGGUUUAGGCAGAAGUGGGUCCUCUGAAGCUCGCAUUUAGUCCACUGUCCAAACGGACUGAACUUCUAAGACUCUGGGGGCAGUUACUGUGCUGAUGGGUGCUGCUAAAAAUGAGACAGCCGAAGAACUCUUAGGGGGAAAAAAAAUCACUGGAAUGUGUGCACCGGAGAAGACAAACUAAGUAUAUGCUGCUGGCCCAGAGGAGGAAUCACUGAAGAAAUAAUGGCUCAAUAUUAUAAAUACUCUUAUGAAAAGGCUGUGUUCUGACAGAGUGCGUAUCUACUGCUUGGAUCUCAGAACACUACUUCUGCAUGAAAAUAAUGUCACACGUGAUUAGGUAACCAAGCCAGUCCAGGAGAGCCUCAAAUGUGACCGCUGUGGACUAGUAGCACCGCUGAAUCUGGCCACCAGGGGAAGCACAUUCAUGCACAAAUCUGGAGCCGCAAGCCAGCAGCCGGCAGAGAAAGCAGGGCUCCCCCUCCCGGUCAGUCAGUGCUUUCCACAUCCCACCACCAGAGGAACAGUGGGACUCAGAGAAAAACACGCCUACGUGGUGUCCAGGGAGGAAGGGAGGGGAGGAGGACUGGGGCUGAGGGGCUAAUCUUUAGCUGGCUCCCCUGCAGGGUCAUCCCUGGUCAUUUCCUUUUCCUUCCUGAGUCCCAAAGACGGGCCUGCCCCGUGCAUGGUUAUUCCUAACCAGUUUCUCUUCACACCUUGGCUCCCUAUAAAACAGAAAGCACUUCCACAGCCUUUCCUCUUCCUUCCUGGCCUUAAGGGACAAAUGUCCUUUCAAGAUUUUCCCCCCCAAUUACAAUCAGUAGUAAAAGGAAAUCAACAAGGAACAAAAGGGUUCUUCUCCCCUCUGACACCCAUCUCUGUCUCAUCUCUGUCUCACUCAGGCUUCCAUCAUUCACUAAGCCUUAGGUACAAGGUGCCUUGCCAGACACUGGGGCACCACUGGACAAGACGGACAAACCAAGUCCACAUAGAACAGCAGGCACAUGACGCGCUAGCAGCCUGGCGUGGUGGUUGGCAGCACCGGUUGUGCCGCAGGGCCACGACAGUGGGGGUCUCUGAACCUUCAUCCACCAAAAGACAUUAAGAAUUGCACCAAACAGGGCUGUUGUAGAGGUUAAAGGAAAUAAUGCUUGACAUAGAGGAAAUACCUACUGAAUCAGAAAGUGGUAGAAAACAACCAGAACUUUGAGAAUGGCACUGAGGACUUAGCAAACUAAAUGCACGGUGGCCUCCAGGACGGCUGCACUUAAACUGGAUCUGGAAGAACAACCAAGAGUCUGCCAGAGAAGGGGAGAAAGAGUGCAUUCCAGCAAGGCCUGGGGCUGCAAGAGGCAUCAGCAUUGUAGGAGCUAUGGGCACCAGGGCCAGCAUCAAGGGCAGAUGAGCCCAGAGGAGGAUCACGGGAGUCUUGUGCUUAAUGUCGUAGCUAAGGAAGGGGGGGGGGGGGGGGGGGGAGACAGGUUCCGAUGCGGUUCUGAGAUAUAACUUUGGGAGAAGUGCUACACCUUUUGCUCAUCCAUCCAGAAAACUGGCUGGAGCCAGGGGAGGUGGGCCAGAGAGCCAGAUGAGAGGCAGCUACAAUGGGACAGGGGAGAAAGGACAGCAUAGAGAAAGCUUGUAGGGAUGAAGCAAAACCUUCCAAGUCUCAGUUUAGAGGUCACUCUGCUGAGAAGCCUUUCCUACGUUGGCAGUUCUGAGUUAGGUACCCUUUCUCCGAAGGGCCCCUACGGCACCACGGGCAUCCCCAAUCAGACCUCUUAACAUGCAUUUCUAUAGAUUCCUUCAACAAAUUCAUCAAGGCCUGCUGUGGGCCAGCCCCUUAUUCAGCACUGGGAACACAGGGGUUAAUAAGAGAGUGUUGGCCCUCUGCGGCUCUCUGUGCUGCUGUGGGCUUACCUGCUGAGAACAAGUAAACAAGCAGAUAUACAAAUUCAGGUGGUACUAAGUACUAUGAUGAAGAAUCAAAUAGGGCAAGGGGAUAGAGAGAGAAAGGUAGGCAGGGAAGGGGUCCCCAGGGCAGCUACGGUCAGCCUCUCUGAAGAGGGCCUCCUCUGAUCAGACAACUGAUGUAGUGGGAGAGUGAGGCAUGCAAAGGAAAAGCAUUUCAGGCAGAGGAAGGGGCAAGCACAGCGUCUCUAAGGGCAGAACAUGUUCACAGACCAGAAAGGACACUAGUGUGGCUGGGAAAGGGUGAGCAGGAGGAGGGUGUGAAAGAAAUAAGGCAGGAACCAGGCAAGGACCAGAUCGUGGACAGCUUUGUGCUUUCAAGUAUGAUGAAAUUCCAGUGCAGGGUUUUAAGAAGAGUGAUAGGAUCUGACCCCUAUUAAACUAAGACCAGUCUGGCUGACUUAUGGAAAGCAGGCUAUAGGCACGGCAGGUACCGAAACAAGGAGGGUGUCAGAAGGCUACUGCAGUAUUCUAGAUUAGAAACACUGAUGGCCUGGCACUGAGUUGUUAGUGGAGCAGGUGGUCAAAGUGGUCACAUUUCAGAUAUAUUUUGAAGGCACAGCUUGCUGAUGCAUUGGGUGUGGGAUGAAAUAAACAAGAAUCAAGUGGGAAUUAAGUAGGUUUGGGGCUUGGGCAACGGGGUGAAUAUGGAGUGUUGCCACUUAUCGAAUGAGAAAGGGUAAGGAAGAGGCAGAUUUGGGGGCAGGAAGAGAAAGAGCAUGUCAAGAGUUUCGUUUUAGACACAGCAAAUCUGGGAUGCCUCUUAAGUCACCAAGUGUAGACAUCAAGUAGGCAGUUGGCUGUGCUCAGGGAGAGGACUGAGCUAGAAAUACAGUCGGAGGCACUUCCAGCAGACAGAUGCGAUCUGUAAGCCUGACACAAGGUGAAUCCCCUGGAGAACGAGCAUAGGUGGGAAAGAGGUCUGAGGAUUACACCAGCAAAGGUGACUGAGAAGAAACGGCCCAGAAAGAGGAAAGGCAGGAGAGGGUGGGGUCUUGGCAGCCAAGGAGGAGCAGAGUGCAGAAGGGAAGGGGUGGCCAGAGGUUAAGUGCUGCUGAGUGGUCCAGUGAAAGAACUUCUGUGGUCCUGACAGGACCAUGGGAUGAAGGUCAUUGUCACCGUGACAAGCAGUGUCAGUGUGUGGCAGCUAGGGGAAGCAGGGCAGAAAGAAGGAGAGAAAACAAGUCUAUACAACUCCUUUGAAGAAAUUUGCUAUAUAGGAGAGCAGAGAUAUGGAGCCGUGGACGGAUGGCGUGUGGAAUGAAGGUCAAGUGUUUUAAGAGAUGCAAUAUUAUAGCAUGUUUGUAUGCUUAUGGGAAUGAUCCAGCAGAACGGGGGAAGCCCAUGGGGCCAAGAAAAAUAUUCCUUAGGAAGCGAAGGUAUAAAUUCUCCAAACGGCUUGACAAGCUGAAUGCCAAUAAAAUGCCAAAUGCUCAAAAUGCCAAUAAAAAAAAAUUCUCUUUUUAAAUUUCAAGAAUCAGUGAUUCUAGUAAAUAGGUGAAGAAAAUCUUAGAGGCAUAUAUCUGUAGUUAUUAGAAGUCAUCCAAAGAUAAAAUGAAACAAUAUUUUUGAGAACUAUUUAAACACGCAGUUUGUUUAUGUCCUAAAACUGUUAUUUUCUACAAAUUUUUCCUUUCUAAAUGACACGAUACAGCUCAAGAUGAAAACUCCUAACCUCAUUAUUUUCUACAAUUUCCAUGAACAGGAUGUACUCACAGGCUGCAUUGAUUUAGUCUGUAGAAUUUGUGUCGCGCAACACAGAGUCUCCACACGUAUUUUGCGGUUUCCAUGUCUUCCUAGCAAAUGAAAUAUGCAUAAAGUAAAUAAAAACACAUUUACAACUUGA